rnacentral:rRNA from 1 species
GACGAACGCUGGCGGCGGGCCUAAUACAUGCAAGUCGAACGCAGUGGGGACGGUUUAGUAACACGUGGGUAACCUCCCAUCAGAGGGGAUAACACUUGGAAACAGGUGCUAAACCCAUACUGAUGGAUGGACCCUGGGUGCAUUAGCUAGUGGGUGGGGUAACGGCUCACCAAGGCCACGAUGCAUAGCCGGCCUGAGAGGAUGAUCGGCCACACUGGGACUGAGACACGGACCAGACUCCUACGGGAGGCAGCAGUAGGGAAUCUUCCGCAAUGGACGAAAGCCUGACCGAGCAAUGCCGCGUGAGUGAAGAAGGUUUUCGGAUUGUAAAGCGCUGUCGUUAGAGAAGCGGUAUCUAACGAGAAAGCCACGGCUAACUACGUGCCAGCAGCCGCGGUAAUAC